GCCCCUAUCGUCUAGUGGUUAAGGACAUCUCUUUUUCAAGGAGAUAACAGGGAUUCGAAUUCCCUUAGGGGUCC
rnacentral:tRNA from 1 species